rnacentral:rRNA from 1 species
GAGUUUGAUCCUGGCUCAGGACGAACGCUGGCGGCGCGCCUAACACAUGCAAGUCGAACGAGCGAGAGAGAGCUUGCUUUCUCGAGCGAGUGGCGAACGGGUGAGUAACGCGUGAGGAACCUGCCUCAAAGAGGGGGACAACAGUUGGAAACGACUGCUAAUACCGCAUAAGCCCACGGUGCCGCAUGGCACAGAGGGAAAAGGAGUAAUCCGCUUUGAGAUGGCCUCGCGUCCGAUUAGCUAGUUGGUGAGGUAACGGCCCACCAAGGCGACGAUCGGUAGCCGGACUGAGAGGUUGAACGGCCACAUUGGGACUGAGACACGGCCCAGACUCCUACGGGAGGCAGCAGUGGGGAAUAUUGCACAAUGGGGGAAACCCUGAUGCAGCGACGCCGCGUGAAGGAUGAAGGUCUUCGGAUUGUAAACUUCUUUUAUUAAGGACGAAGAAAGUGACGGUACUUAAUGAAUAAGCUCCGGCUAACUACGUGCCAGCCGCCGCGGUAAUAC